CCCUUAGAUGUUCUGGGCUGCACGCGCGCUACACUGAAGGACUCAACGUGCUUGUCUCCUUGGCCGUCAGGUCUGGGUAACCCGUUGAACCUCCUUCGUGCUAGGGAUUGGGGCUUGUAAUUAUUCCCCAUGAACGAGGAAUUCCCAGUAAGCGCGAGUCAUCAUCUCGCGUUGAUUACGUCCCUGCCCUUUGUACACACCGCCCGUCGCUACUACCGAUUGAAUGGUCCGGUGAAAUCUCGGGACGGCGGCUUGGUCGCUUGCGUCCGACUGCUGAAACUUGAUUAAACCAUAUCAUUUAGAGGAAGGUGAAGUCGUAACA
rnacentral:rRNA from 1 species